AUAACGCCGGUUGCAGCCCGAGAAAUCAGGCGUGGCUGGUGACUUUUUAGUCACCAGCUU
rnacentral:sRNA from 1 species